UGGGGAAUAUUGGACAAUGGGGGCAACCCUGAUCCAGCCAUGCCGCGUGAGUGAUGAAGGCCCUAGGGUUGUAAAGCUCUUUCAGUCAUGAGGAUAAUGACGUUAAUGACAGAAGAAGCCCCGGCUAACUUCGUGCCAGCAGCCGCGGUAAUACGAAGGGGGCUAGCGUUGUUCGGAAUCACUGGGCGUAAAGCGCACGUAGGCGGACUUUUAAGUCAGGGGUGAAAUCCCGAGGCUCAACCUCGGAACUGCCUUUGAUACUGGAAGUCUUGAGUUCGAGAGAGGUGAGUGGAACUCCGAGUGUAGAGGUGAAAUUCGUAGAUAUUCGGAAGAACACCAGUGGCGAAGGCGGCUCACUGGCUCGAUACUGACGCUGAGGUGCGAAAGCGUGGGGAGCAAACAGGAUUAGAUACCCCCGUAGUCC
rnacentral:rRNA from 1 species